CUGUGUCAGCCACCCGCGGUAAUACGAAGGGUGCAAGCGUUAAUCGGAAUUACUGGGCGUAAAGCGCGCGUAGGUGGUUUGAUAAGUUGGAUGUGAAAGCCCCGGGCUCAACCUGGGAAUUGCAUCCAAAACUGUCUGACUAGAGUACGGUAGAGGGUAGUGGAAUUUCCUGUGUAGCGGUGAAAUGCGUAGAUAUAGGAAGGAACACCAGUGGCGAAGGCGACUACCUGGACUGAUACUGACACUUGAGGUUCGAAAGCGGACC
rnacentral:rRNA from 1 species